UGUGUUCUACUCGGGCCAGAGCUCAGACAGUGAAGUUGCCGUGCUUGGCCUCCGCAUGAGGUGGUUCUCCUUACAGGUCCCCUAUCACACAGAUGAGGUGCAAAGACUCUUGAGGCAAGCGGUGUUUCUAGCUUCUAUCUCCAGCUCUAUUUUCACAUGUCUAAUUUUAACAUAAUUACACUGCACUUUACAGCACUUUUGCUGACUGUUCCAGACUGGUGACGGCCCACAGAGGACAGACGUGCUGCUGUACACGGGUUGGUAAUGGACACGAUCAAAGAAGAGUUCUUACUCAAAUUGGAAAAGGACAUCAUCAGACAACCAGACAAUCUCACAGCACGGACCACCAACAAGGUUCCUUGUUACUGGCUGAAUUGUGUCCUCCCAAAUUCAUGUGUUGAAAUCCUAACCCCUGGUACCUCAGAAUACGACUGCAUUUGGAGCUAGGGCUUUUAAAGAGGCAAUUAAGUUAAAAUGGGGUCAUUACUGUGGAUCCUAAUCCAGUGUGACUGAUGUCCUUAAAAAAGAGGAGAUUAGGACACAGACAACACAGAGACUAGAUGAAGACAGAGUGAAUAUGGCCAUCCGCAAGCCAAAGAAAGAGGCCUCUGAAGAAACCAAGUUGGGCGACACCUUGAUCUUGGAUGUCUAGCCUUCAGAACUGGGAGGAAAUAUAUUUCUAUUGUUUAAA